CACAGGUUGUGAACUCGAAGAGUAGGGCGGGACACGUGGUAUCCUGUCUGAAUAUGGGGGGACCAUCCUCCAAGGCUAAAUACUCCUGACUGACCGAUAGUGAACCAGUACCGUGAGGGAAAGGCGAAAAGAACCCCGGCGAGGGGAGUGAAAAAGAACCUGAAACCGUGUACGUACAAGCAGUGGGAGCACCUUCGUGGUGUGACUGCGUACCUUUUGUAUAAUGGGUCAGCGACUUAUAUUCUGUAGCAAGGUUAACCGUAUAGGGGAGCCGAAGGGAAACCGAGUCUUAACUGGGCGUUAAGUUGCAGGGUAUAGACCCGAAACCCGGUGAUCUAGCCAUGGGCAGGUUGAAGGUUGGGUAACACUAACUGGAGGACCGAACCGACUAAUGUUGAAAAAUUAGCGGAUGACUUGUGGCUGGGGGUGAAAGGCCAAUCAAACCGGGAGAUAGCUGGUUCUCCCCGAAAGCUAUUUAGGUAGCGCCUCGUGAACUCAUCUUCGGGGGUAGAGCACUGUUUCGGCUAGGGGGCCAUCCCGGCUUACCAACCCGAUGCAAACUACGAAUACCGAAGAAUGUUAUCACGGGAGACACACGGCGGGUGCUAACGUCCGUCGUGAAGAGGGAAACAACCCAGACCGCCAGCUAAGGUCCCAAAGUCAUGGUUAAGUGGGAAACGAUGUGGGAAGGCACAGACAGCCAGGAUGUUGGCUUAGAAGCAGCCAUCAUUUAAAGAAAGCGUAAUAGCUCACUGGUCGAGUCGGCCUGCGCGGAAGAUGUAACGGGGCUAAACCAUGCACCGAAGCUGCGGCAGCGACGCUUAUGCGUUGUUGGGUAGGGGAGCGUUCUGUAAGCCGUUGAAGGUGUGCUGUGAGGCAUGCUGGAGGUAUCAGAAGUGCGAAUGCUGACAUAAGUAACGAUAAAGCGGGUGAAAAGCCCGCUCGCCGGAAGACCAAGGGUUCCUGUCCAACGUUAAUCGGGGCAGGGUGAGUCGACCCCUAAGGCGAGGCCGAAAGGCGUAGUCGAUGGGAAACAGGUUAAUAUUCCUGUACUUGGUGUUACUGCGAAGGGGGGACGGAGAAGGCUAUGUUAGCCGGGCGACGGUUGUCCCGGUUUAAGCAUGUAGGCGGA
rnacentral:rRNA from 1 species